GAUGAACGCUGGCGGCGUGCUUAACACAUGCAAGUCGAACGGGAUCCAAGGGGUGCUUGCACUUUUUGGUGAGAGUGGCGAACGGGUGAGUAACACGUGAGUAACCUGUCCUUUUCUUUGGGAUAAGCAUUCGAAAGGGUGUUUAAUACCUUAUGUUCUGUCUGCCUCGCAUGGGGUGGGUGGGAAAGGCUUUGGCCGGAUUUGGGUGGGCUCGCGGUCUAUCAGCUUGUUGGUGGGGUGAUGGCUUACCAAGGCUUUGACGGGUAGCCGGCCUGAGAGGGUGGUCGGUCACAUUGGGACUGAGAUACGGCCCAGACGCCUGCGGGAGGCAGCAGUGGGGGAUAUUGCACAAUGGGCGAAAGCCUGAUGCAGCGACGCCGCGUGGGGGAUGAAGGCCUUCGGGUUGUAAACUUCUUUUGCUCUGAACAAGGCAUGCCAGUGGGUGUGUUGAGUGUAGGGGUUGAUUAGCGCCGGCUAACUACGU
rnacentral:rRNA from 1 species